rnacentral:rRNA from 1 species
AGUGAACGCUGGCGGUAGGCCUAACACAUGCAAGUCGAACGGCAGCACAGUAAGAGCUUGCUCUUACGGGUGGCGAGUGGCGGACGGGUGAGGAAUACAUCGGAAUCUACUUUUUCGUGGGGGAUAACGUAGGGAAACUUACGCUAAUACCGCAUACGACCUACGGGUGAAAGCAGGGGAUCUUCGGACCUUGCGCGAUUGAAUGAGCCGAUGUCGGUUUAGCUAGUUGGCGGGGUAAAGGCCCACCAAGGCGACGAUCCGUAGCUGGUCUGAGAGGAUGAUGAGCCACACUGGAACUGAGACACGGUCCAGACUCCUACGGGAGGCAGCAGUGGGGAAUAUUGGACAAUGGGCGCAAGCCUGAUCCAGCCAUACCGCGUGGGUGAAGAAGGCCUUCGGGUUGUAAAGCCCUUUUGUUGGGAAAGAAAAGCAGCAGGUUAAUACCCCGCUGUUCUGACGGUACCCAAAGAAUAAGCACCGGCUAACUUCGUG